rnacentral:rRNA from 1 species
GUAACAAGGUUUCCGUAGGUGAACCUGCGGAAGGAUCAUUAAUGAAUUUUUGAAGGGGUUGUAGCUGGCCCGCGAGGGCAUGUGCACGCCCCGUUCAAUCCAUUCUACCCCUGUGAACCACACUGUAGGGAUCGAGGGCCGUGAGGCCUGCUUUCCCUAUGUCAUUUUACAAACUCUGUAGUGUCAGAAUGUCACCUGCGUAUAACGCAUCUUAUACAACUUUCAGCAACGGAUCUCUUGGCUCUCGCAUCGAUGAAGAACGCAGCGAAAUGCGAUAAGUAAUGUGAAUUGCAGAAUUCAGUGAAUCAUCGAAUCUUUGAACGCACCUUGCGCCCCUCGGUAUUCCGAGGAGCAUGCCUGUUUGAGUGUCAUGGAAUCAUCAACCUUUAAUGCCUUGUGCAUCGAAGGCUUGGACUUGGAGGGCCAUGCCGGCGCGAGUCGGCUCCUCUGGAAUGCAUUAGCUGGACUAUGGGUCUGGUUGCGCGGUGUGAUAAUUAUCUGCAUCGUCUGCCUCUCCGCGGAUCAGCUUCGAACCGUCUCCUGUGGAGACAAAAUUCAUUGACCUCUGACCUCAAAUCAGGUAGGACUACCCGCUGAACUUAAGCAUAUC